rnacentral:rRNA from 1 species
GACGAACGCUGGCGGCGUGCUUAACACAUGCAAGUCGAACGGAAAGGCCCUGCUUUUGUGGGGUGCUCGAGUGGCGAACGGGUGAGUAACACGUGAGUAACCUGCCCUUGACUUUGGGAUAACUUCAGGAAACUGGGGCUAAUACCGGAUAGGAGCUCCUGCUGCAUGGUGGGGGUUGGAAAGUUUCGGCGGUUGGGGAUGGACUCGCGGCUUAUCAGCUUGUUGGUGGGGUAGUGGCUUACCAAGGCUUUGACGGGUAGCCGGCCUGAGAGGGUGACCGGCCACAUUGGGACUGAGAUACGGCACAGAAUCCUACGGGAGGCAGCAGUGGGGAAUAUUGCACAAUGGGAGGAAGCCUGAUGCAGCAACGCCGCGUGCGGGAUGACGGCCUUCGGGUUGUAAACCGCUUUCGCAUGUGACGAAGAGUGAGUGACGGUAAUGGGUAAAGAAGCACCGGCUAACUACGUG